rnacentral:rRNA from 1 species
ACUAAGUGUUGUUGGGUAGGGGAGCGUUCUGUAAGCCUGCGAAGGUGGCCUGUGAGGGUUGCUGGAGGUAUCAGAAGUGCGAAUGCUGACAUAAGUAACGAUAAUGCGGGUGAAAAACCCGCACGCCGGAAGACCAAGGGUUCCUGUCCAACGUUAAUCGGGGCAGGGUGAGUCGACCCCUAAGGCGAGGCCGAAAGGCGUAGUCGAUGGGAAACAGGUUAAUAUUCCUGUACCUGGUGUUACUGCGAAGGGGGGACGGAGAAGGCUAUGUUGGCCGGGCGACGGUUGUCCCGGUUUAAGCGUGUAGGCUGGUUUUCCAGGCAAAUCCGGAAAAUCAAGGCUGAGGCGUGAUGACGAGGCACUACGGUGCUGAAGCAACAAAUGCCCUGCUUCCAGGAAAAGCCUCUAAGCCUCAGGUAACAUCAGAUCGUACCCGAAACCGACACAGGUGGUCAGGUAGAGAAUACCAAGGCGCUUGAGAGAACCCGGGUGAAGGAACUAGGCAAAAUGGUGCCGUAACUUCGGGAGAAGGCACGCUGACAUGUAGGUGAAGCGGUUUACCCGUGGAGCUGAAGUCAGUCGAAGAUACCAGCUGGCUGCAACUGUUUAUUAAAAACACAGCACUGUGCAAACACGAAAGUGGACGUAUACGGUGUGACGCCUGCCCGGUGCCGGAAGGUUAAUUGAUGGGGUCAGCGCAAGCGAAGCUCCUGAUCGAAGCCCCGGUAAACGGCGGCCGUAACUAUAACGGUCCUAAGGUAGCGAAAUUCCUUGUCGGGUAAGUUCCGACCUGCACGAAUGGCGUAAUGAUGGCCAGGCUGUCUCCACCCGGGACUCAGUGAAAUUGAACUCGCUGUGAAGAUGCAGUGUACCCGCGGCAAGACGGAAAGACCCCGUGAACCUUUACUAUAGCUUGACACUGAACACUGGUCCUUGAUGUGCAGGAUAGGUGGGAGGCUUUGAAGUGUGGACGCCAGUCUGCAUGGAGCCGUCCUUGAAAUACCACCCUUUAAUGGCUGGUGUUCUAACGUAGACCCGUGAACCGGGUUGCGGACAGUGUCUGGUGGGUAGUUUGACUGGGGCGGUCUCCUCCUAAAGCGUAACGGAGGAGCACGAAGGUUGGCUAAUCCUGGUCGGACAUCAGGAGGUUAGUGCAAUGGCAUAAGCCAGCUUGACUGCGAGCGUGACGGCGCGAGCAGGUGCGAAAGCAGGUCAUAGUGAUCCGGUGGUUCUGAAUGGAAGGGCCAUCGCUCAACGGAUAAAAGGUACUCCGGGGAUAACAGGCUGAUACCGCCCAAGAGUUCAUAUCGACGGCGGUGUUUGGCACCUCGAUGUCGGCUCAUCACAUCCUGGGGCUGAAGUAGGUCCCAAGGGUAUGGCUGUUCGCCAUUUAAAGUGGUACGCGAGCUGGGUUUAGAACGUCGUGAGACAGUUCGGUCC